CAGUUAAAUUUAAUAGUUAAUAUUUUCAUUUACAUUGAGAUAAAAGUUGUGCAAUUCAACAUUAACUGA
rnacentral:tRNA from 1 species